rnacentral:rRNA from 1 species
UACGAAGGGGGCUAGCGUUGCUCGGAAUCACUGGGCGUAAAGCGCACGUAGGCGGCUUUCUAAGUCAGGGGUGAAAUCCUGGAGCUCAACUCCAGAACUGCCUUUGAUACUGGAGAGCUAGAGUCCGGAAGAGGUGAGUGGAACUGCGGAGUGUAGAGGUGAAAUUCGUAGAUAUUCGCAAGAACACCAGUGGCGAAGGCGGCUCACUGGUCCGGUACUGACGCUGAGGUGCGAAAGCGUGGGGAGCAAACAGG